rnacentral:rRNA from 1 species
GCAAAUUGACACCGUAACUUCGGGAGAAGGUGUGCCGCUGGCGGUUAGUGACUUCGCGUCACGAAGCUGUCGGUGGUCGCAGUGAAAUGGCGGUUGUGACUGUUUACUAAAAACACAGGACUCUGCGAAGUCGUAAGACGACGUAUAGGGUCUGAUGCCUGCCCGGUGCUGGAAGGUUAAGGGGAUAUGUCAGCGCAAGCGAAGCAUUGAACCGAAGCCCCAGUAAACGGCGGCCGUAACGAUAACGGUCCUAAGGUAGCGAAAUUCCUUGUCGGGUAAGUUCCGAUCUGCACGAGGGCAUAACAACAUCCGCACUGUCUCGACCAGGGACUCAGCGAAAUUACAUUGGGGGUGAAGAUGCCCUCUACCCGCGGAAAGACGGAAAGACCCCAUGAACCUUUACUGCAACUUGGCAGUGAUUUUCGGGUUGUUCUGCGUAGGAUAGGUGGGAGGCUUUGAAGCCGGGCUUCCGGGUUCGGCAGAGCCAACGUUGAAAUACCACCCUGAAUAAUCUGGAAAUCUAACCUGCGCCCAUGAUCUGGGCGAGGGACACUGCCUGGUGGGCAGUUUGACUGGGGCGGUCGCCUCCUAAAUUGUAACGGAGGCGUGCGACGGUUCCCUCAGGCUGAUUGGAAACCAGCCGUAGAGUGCAAACGCAUAAGGGAGCUUUACUGCGAGACUGACAAGUCGAACAGUUGCGAAAGCAGGUGUUAGUGAUCCGGUGGUACCACAUGGAAGGGCCAUCGCUCAUCGGAUAAAAGGUACUCUGGGGAUAACAGGCUGAUCGCGCCUGAGAGUUCACAUCGGCGGCGCGGUUUGGCACCUCGAUGUCGGCUCAUCGCAUCCUGGGGCUGGAGCAGGUCCCAAGGGUUUGGCUGUUCGCCAAUUAAAGCGGUACGCGAGCUGGGUUUAAAACGUCGUGAGACAGUUUGGUCCCUAUCUUCCGUGGGCGCAGGACACUUGAGAGGAGCUAUCCAUAGUACGAGAGGACCUGGAUGGACGAACCUCUGGUGCUCCGGUUGUCACGCCAGUGGCAUAGCCGGGUAGCCAUGUUCGGAACAGAUAACCGCUGAAGGCAUAUAAGCGGGAAGCUGGCCUCAAGACUAGGUGUCCCUGACGCAAGUCACUAAAGGCCCCUCGAAGACUACGAGGUUGAUAGGCUCGGUGUGGAAGCGCUGCGAGGCGUGGAGCUAACGAGUACUAAUAGGCCGUGCGACUUGACCUC